GGGUAUAUAGCUCAAGUGGUAGAGCACAUGCUUACCAUGCAUGAGGUCCUGGGUUCAAUCCCCAGUACCUCCU
rnacentral:tRNA from 1 species